UCAUAGCUCAGUGGCCACGGAGCACUGGUCUCUUAAGCCAGAGGGUGCGUAGGUUCAAACCUAUUGGGUAAA